GGAUUCCCCUAGUAACGGCGAGUGAAGAGGGAGAAGCCCAGCACCGAAGCCUGCGGUAGCUUUACUGCUAGGCAAUGUGGUGUUUGGGUCGGCCCGCGGGAUUGCCACUCCAUUCGAAGUCCAGCAUUGAGUAUGGUACCCUGGAUUUGGCCCAUAGAGGGUGAAAGGCCCGUGCGAAUGGAUGUUUCAGACAUGAAAGGCAGUUCACCAGGUCGGCCUUAGAGUCGGGUUGUUUGAGAAUGCAGCCCAAAGUGGGUGGUAAACUCCAUCCAAGGCUAAAUACUGGCACGAGUCCGAUAGCGAACAAGUACCGUGAGGGAAAGUUGAAAAGUACUCUGAAGAGAGAGUAAACAGUACGUGAAACCGCAUAAAGGUAAACGGGUGGCGUCAAGCUGCAAGCCUGGAGGAUUCAGCUGGUCAUUGUGGAGUGUAUACGUCCUGUGUAUCGCAGUCGGUGGUAGUGAGUAGUCUGCUGGUAAACGGCGGGCCUGGUCGCAAGACCAGGAUGUGCGUUCCACGUGUUCGGUGGUGUACGCUGCUCAACUAUUGGACUGGAUGGCCAGUGCACUUCCUCCAUUAAGGUGAACACCACGACCGGUGGUACUGCCAGUCUGGUGUAGCCAAGUUGUGUCUAUUUGGGCAUUCGUGUUCAUUAGGUGCAAUCACAGGCAGAUUCGGUGGACGGUGAGUAGACUUCGGUUUGCUCAUGUUAUCGGCCACUGGCUGUCARCGGGUCUGUCCAYUGGGGUUGCAGUCCUCGGUGGGUGGCCUGGUGGGCUACACUGGUAAGAAUAACUGUGCAGGGCACCGGAGUGAUCGGUCUCUAAUCCGGUUGGCGCACGCGCUGCAAGUGUGUGURGAGGUGCCAUUGCGGCCUGUCGUUGGUUGGGUCUGAUUGCCGUGUCGCCUGCGAAAAGUAGGUCCGGUAGUGGCUCGGCUACGGUCGGUGCAUGUAGUGGUAUUUCUYUGUCAGUCGGUGUGGACCUAACAGUCUGUGGUGUAGUGGUAGACGAGCUACCCGACCCGUCUUGAAACACGGACCAAGGAGUUU
rnacentral:rRNA from 1 species